rnacentral:rRNA from 1 species
GACGAACGCUGGCGGCGUGCUUAACACAUGCAAGUCGAACGGAAAGGCCCUGCUUUUGUGGGGUGCUCGAGUGGCGAACGGGUGAGUAACACGUGAGUAACCUGCCCUUGACUUUGUGAUAACUUCAGGAAACUGGGGCUAAUACCGGAUAGGAGCUCCUGCUGCAUGGUGGGGGUUGGAAAGUUUCGGCGGUUGGGGAUGGACUCGCGGCUUAUCAGCUUGUUGGUGAGGUAGUGGCUUACCAAGGCUUUGACGGGUAGCCGGCCUGAGAGGGUGACCGGCCACAUUGGGACUGAGAUACGGACCAGACUCCUACGGGCGGCAGCAGUGGGGAAUAUUGCAGAAUGGGCGGAAGCCUGAUGCAGCAACGCCGGGUGCGGGAUGACGGCCUUUGGGUUGUAAACCGCUUUCGCAUGUGACGAAGCGUGAGUGACGGUAAUGGGUAAAGAAGCAACGGCUAACUACGUG